UGAGCAAUCUGCCCUUCACAUCGGAAUAAGCGUUGGAAACGACGUCUAAUGCCGAAUACGACCUCCUUUCGCAUGAUCGGAGGUGGAAAGCUCCGGCGGAGAAGGAUGAGCUCGCGGCCUAUCAGCUAGUUGGUGUGGGUAAUGGCCCACCAAGGCUACGAUCAGUAGCUGGUCUGAGAGGAUGAUCAGCCACACUGGGA
rnacentral:rRNA from 1 species